AUUGAACGCCGGCGGCGUGCCUAACACAUGCAAGUCGAGCGGUAACAGGUGUAGCAAUACAUGCUGACGAGCGGCGAACGGGUGAGUAAUGCUUCGGAAUCUGCCCAUGUAGUGGGGAAUAACCAGCCGAAAGGUUGGCUAAUACCGCAUACGACCCUUGCCCACAAGGCAAAGGUGAAAGCAGGGGAUCGCAAGACCUUGCGCUAUUGGAUGAGCCGAAGCGGAUUAGCUAGUUGGUAGGGUAACGGCCUACCAAGGCGACGAUCCGUAGCUGGUCUGAGAGGACGACCAGCCACACUGGGACUGAGACACGGCCCAGACUCCUACGGGAGGCAGCAGUGGGGAAUAUUGCGCAAUGGGCGAAAGCCUGACGCAGCGACGCCGCGUGGGGGAUGAAGGUCUUCGGAUUGUAAACCCCUUUCGGGAGGAAGAUGGGACGGGCAACCGUUCGGACGGUACCUCCAGAAGCAGCCACGGCUAACUUCGUGCCAGCAGCCGCGG
rnacentral:rRNA from 1 species